GUUGACUACUUUUAGAGGAUUAUCAGCUUUCUGCUAGUUCGGUUUUCUUUUGAAAUUUCUCUGUUAUACUUUUUUUUUUUUCUGAUUCAUCAACCCGAAUAAGCCAAAUCCAUUUCUUGGUUUUGAUCUUCAUACAUCCUCCUUUAUUAUCUUUCUUUAUUCUCCUGAUCUCAUCAUCCGCCGGAAACUCGUUGUUAGCCACGCGGAAUACAUCCCACGUUUCCCCUUCCUCCGCCAACAUUCUCACGAAUACACCAAAAUAACCGCUGUAUUUCUUUUUCACGUAUUCUGAAUCCUCUGCACAUAAUAGAACUGCAAAUUUGCCAGCGAAUUCCAGAUUUCGGAGAAGAGAGGCAUAAAAAAUAGGGUUCUUUUAUUUUGGUCCAUUUUCAGAUUUCUUGGUGGGUCCAAAUUCUAGAGAAAGCACAAAAUAUUCGAAGUUUCUUCUUCCUAUUUGAACGAGAAAUACAUAGAGUAUUGCUCCAGUUCGUCGCAAUCCAUCACCGCCGACCAGAUUUCCGUUAACUUCAAGGGCUGCAAUUCAGGAAGCGGCAACGGCAGUGGCACAGGGGAGGACGUGGACCAGUGACGGAGGUGGUGGGGCGACCGAGAACCCGACCCGAAAUCCGCAUAAAACUCAGGAGAAACCGCCUCCUUCCACCGCCGUAAAUCCGACGUGUAUUAGGUGAAUCUGUAGGAGAAGUAGUACUAGUUGAAGGAGAAGAAGAAGAAGAGUGGGAAC